GACGAACGCUGGCGGCGUGCCUAAUACAUGCAAGUCGAACGCUGAAGGAGGAGCUUGCUUCUCUGGAUGAGUUGCGAACGGGUGAGUAACGCGUAGGUAACCUGCCUGGUAGCGGGGGAUAACUAUUGGAAACGAUAGCUAAUACCGCAUAAUAGUAGAUGUUGCAUGACAUUUGCUUAAAAGGUGCAAUUGCAUCACUACCAGAUGGACCUGCGUUGUAUUAGCUAGUUGGUGAGGUAACGGCUCACCAAGGCGACGAUACAUAGCCGACCUGAGAGGGUGAUCGGCCACACUGGGACUGAGACACGGCCCAGACUCCUACGGGAGGCAGCAGUAGGGAAUCUUCGGCAAUGGACGGAAGUCUGACCGAGCAACGCCGCGUGAGUGAAGAAGGUUUUCGGAUCGUAAAGCUCCGUUGUAAGAGAAGAACGAGUGUGAGAGUGGAAAGUUCACACUGUGACGGUAUCUUACCAGAAAGGGACGGCUAACUACGUG
rnacentral:rRNA from 1 species